UGGCUCCGCCUUAGCAGCUCAUACGCUAAAAUUGGAAUGGCAUAGAGAUUAGCAAGGUCCCUGUGCAAGGAUGACCUGCCAACUCGGCCUUAGUGAACAAAGUGG
rnacentral:snRNA from 1 species